rnacentral:antisense_RNA from 1 species
ACCAAGCGGGUGGAAGUCCUGUGCAGGAAAUCCCGGCGUGCGUCGCGGAUCUUCCUGUGCGCGGUAGCGACCUUCUUCUUCGCCUUGCGGUGGUUGGCGGAGCCGCGCUGCUUACGGGCCACCAUCCGCUGAUAGCGGGCCAGGUUCUUCGCCUUACGCUCCAAGUGUCGCGGGUUGGCGAUCUUCUCCCCGGUGGACAGUGUCGCGAAGUCCUUCACUCCGAGGUCGACGCCGACCUCACCGCCGGUCUCCGGUCGGGCUUCAGGGUCGUCGGUCUCCACCGCGAACGUCACGUAGAACCGGCCAUCGGGCUCACGGGAGACGAUCACCAUGGUCGGGUUCAAAGAGGCGAGGUCGACGUCGUCGAACGACCACGCCACACGAAGUGGCGUCUUGUGCUUGGCGAGGAACAGCUCGCCGUUCUUGUUGCGGAACGCGCUGCGGGUGUAGUGCGCCGACUGGCGGCCGUUGCGGUUCUUGAACCGAGGGUACCUGGCACGUCCGGAGAAGAAGUUAGUGAACGCGGUGUGCUGGUGGCGGAGCGUCUGCUGCAACGGUACAGAGGACACCUCGGCCAAGAACGCCAGGUUUUCUC